AGGUGAAAUUUAGUAUUAUUUUAGAUUUGUUAAAAAUAAAAUUUGUUUGAGGCUAUAAGGUAUAAGUUAUAAAAUAGGAUUAGAUACCCUGUUAUUCUUAUUCGAAAUUUUUUAGCUUGAGUAGUAAACAGAUAUUUUCUUAAAAUUUAAAGAAUUUGGCAGUAUUUUAGUCUUGUUAGAGGAGCUUGUUUUAUAAACGAUAAACCCCGAAUUAUUUUACCUUUUUUAGUUAUUCAGUUUGUAUACCGUCAUUAUUAAAUAGUUUUUAUAGAAAAUUAUUAAGAUAAAUAAAUAUUUUUAAUAUAUUAGAUCUAGGUGCAGCUUAUGAGAAGGCAAGUAAUGAGCUACAUUAUAAAAAAUGCGGAUAAAUUAAUUUAAAUUUUAAUUUUGAAGGUGGAUUUAAUAGUAAUUUUUUUUUAAUAAGGUAAUUUGAUAAAAGCUCUGAAAUAUGCA
rnacentral:rRNA from 1 species